GAGGGAAAUGUGUCUGGUCCUCCUCAUGUGAAUUCGAAUGUGUCUGUUCCUCUUGGGAAUCCUCCUGUCAACCAUCACCAUGUUGCAAACAUAGAUGGCCAGAGUUCUGUGAUACCAGGGUUGAGCAGACAACAGUAUGAUCAAUUAAUGAGCUUGUUACAACAGACUCAGUUGGGGGAUUCCACUGCUCAGACUCCUCCUCCCAUG
rnacentral:lncRNA from 1 species